AGAAGACUCCAAAGAUGUCCCACAUUCAAAGAAAGAUAAAGAAGUAACUGAUGAUGUAUCUUCACCAAAGAAGCAAACACGUCCCAUCAGUUUCUUCCAAUGUGUCUACUUGAAUGGGUACAAUGGCUAUGGGUUUCAGUUUCCUGUCACACCUGUCCAACAACCUGGAGAGAACCCUGGCAAAACAAACUCUCCAGGACAGAAGCAACAAGAACAAUAGACAGCCAUGCAUGACCCUGACAACUGCUUUUACACGGUGAAAGUGGAAUGUCCUCUUUUGUCCACGGUGGCACGGGCAAUCAAAACUAUCUGAUGCUGAGAUUUCAUUGUAAACAUUUUGCCUGACAUAAAGAGAUGACAUAGACAAAGGAAUUGACUAAUAAGCAGAUGUGUUCAGGGUCUAAUACUUGAGAAUCUUCAUUUGUGUCUGUUGCUAUAGGAGGGAUACUUACAUUUAGCUCCUUCUAGCUGUUAUAAGGCAGUAUGUUCAUUAAAGUUUACUUUUAAAUAUAAUUGGAACAAUUACAAAAUGAGAUUUAUGAUUUCAGGUAGGGAAUUUUUAAAUUGGUAACAUAGACUGUGUUCUAAUUUUAAAUAGUACAGGAAUAUAUAUAAAAGUUAUUCUUCUGCAUCAUGUGGGUAGACUCAGUUUACCCAAAAAACCUAUGUCUAUCAUUAUAUUCACUUCUGUUUCUAGUUCAGUUAUGGCAAGGCUCUACAUAGGUAUAUCUUACACCAGAGUGCUCUAAAUCCCUUGCAAUAUUCUUAAGGAUCAGACUAUCUAAAAGAUGGGACAUGACAAAGAAUAAGUGCUUGUUGGAUCUUAUCUCUGAGGUUGUCUUGGGCUAUGCUUAAGACAUUCUCUCUUAUCUACAUAUACUUGCAGUUAAGCACAUUUGGUAAAUAACUUGUUUAAUAUGCAAGUUAAUGAGAUAUGAAAUUUUCACAUCUCUCCAGAUUGUGCCUCAGUAAAUCCAUCACCUGGAUAAAGGUUUAGUUCAAACAACAACAACUAAGGUUGACCAAUCCAAACAUAGUUAUUUCUCAAUACAUACUUUCUGUGAGAUUAAAUGUUUUCUUUUUGAAAUGGAAACAAUACAAAUGACAUAAAACUUUAAGUGAGAUAUUUUGGGCCUAGACAUGUUCAUGAGAUGUCUUACUUUCUUUUGGCUAAUUGAACAGUAAUGCCAGUUAAAUGAAUGGCAAUUUUUAACUUUCUUGUCCAUGCAUCACUGAAAAUAACUGUUGAGAAUGUUCAUCGUUUUGGUAAUACAAACACUAGAUUUUCAUGAACUUUUCUUAUCUAGAAAACAUAAUUGGACCUUUUCAUCAUGUUUCUACUUGUAGCUGAACUUAUGACAAAUUAACUCACAAAACAACUUGAGUUACCAUUUUGGGCACUAUCAUAAGCUCAGCCAAUGCUGAGCUACUGACUUUGUGAACUAGCUGUGUGAUUGGUUUCAAACACUGCAGCCAAACUAGUUCUUGAGGUCUAAGACAAAAGUCCAUUUUAUCAAUAUUCAGGUAGGAUAUGGACCAUAUACUCAGCAUUAACGAUGGUAUGUCGGUGACUUUUGUAAGAAAGUUAGCUUCAACCAAAUGCUGAUAGACUGAAUUCACACCAAAAACGUCAACACUACAAUGUACUAGAUUAAUGGAGCCAUUUGGAGGGGAAGGAGUACAUAAUUGACCAGAGUUUCAUUCAGCAAUUCAAACUUACAAGGAGAACAGUGGAUAAAGUGCUCUACUUAGUUGAAGUUUCACUAAUUUCCUGAGUAUGGGACAGAGAAUAAAUGUGUUUUAAAACACAUGCUACAGAAUGGGUUAUCCACUAAGUUAUUAUCUUUCAAUGACUAUGCACUUAGUCUUUCUAUACUGUUUCAUGUUAUAGACCAUGAAACAUAGUACAGCAAUAGAUUCUACUUCAUGUUAUUCUGGCACGGUUUAUCUUUCAAUGACUAUGCACUUAGUCUUUCUAUACUGUUUCAUGUUAUAGACCAUGAAACAUAGUACAGCAAUAGAUUCUAUUUCAUGUUAUUCUGGCACGGUAAGUAACAUUCAAAAAAUGCAUUAUAUGUAUUAGGUCUGUAUCUCCAGGUUUCAAAGAACCAUCAAAACAAACAGCUCAGUACUUCACAGAGUUACUCUGUAGCUAGAUAAAGUGUCUUAAUAUGGGUUUGUUUGAAAGCAUUCUUUGAAAUUAUGUUUUUGGAGAUUACAUUAAUCUUAUCUCUACCAACUUUUAAAUAUCAUCAUCUAUUUUCUUUGUGAAACAAAUUGACAAAAUAUAACAAAUGUUAUUGUAAAUUUGGGUGUGAGUUAGAGAAAAAAUAUGAUGUAAUAGUUAACAAUAGUUGUUAAGGUUUGUCUAAAAUUUGAAUAACUAGUAUAAUUUGAAAAAAUUAUCUAAACUGUCAUCUGUUAUAUUUUUACAUUAGUAAACUACUUCUGACUCUUGAGUUUAAUGGUUUGUAUCUUGAAAAGAAAAGGCAUGAAUAAUUAAUUUUUCAUUUGAAAUUUUCUUUCAUGGUUAAUUCCAUAUUGUUCAAAAUAUGUAAAUAACUGCUUAAUAUUUUUGCUUUGUCUAGUGGGAUUGAGUCCCCCCUACUCCUGCAUACUCUCAUCUUUUAUCCAUCUUGGUAUUUGAAAAUAUUCAGCAAUAAGAACAUUUAUUUUAACCUUAGUUCUCUACAGUUAUAUAACUUAUGCUCAUCAUUUUUCAAAUAUAACCAAAGUUGUUUUGUGUAUUUUCCUCAUGAAAAGGACCUCUCUGUGGACCCAUUCUGAUAUAUUCUUGUCUAAACUCUUCAGGGAAAUAUUUCAGAAUUGUUACUGCAUAUGUAAGAACUCUGCCUAUUUCUUGAAUAAUCUUGCUGGAUAAAAAAGGCAAGAAGAAUAACAAAUAUUGUUGGUAGAAAACUAAGAACUCAUCUAUUCCAACAAACAUCUUCAAGAAAUGAAAAUGCAAGAGAUAUAAAAUGACAAUUUUUUUAAAAAAUCACCAAUUUAAAUGGGUCAAUGUGAGAAAUGUAUUCAAUAACUAGUCAUGUCUAGUUUCUAUUACACUAAUAGUGAGUAGAAUUAAAAAGAGAGGCUACCCUUCAUAAUCAUGGCUUCAGAAGAAGAGAUAACUGUGGAUUUUUGUGGAACAUGUAGAAGUUAUUGGAACCUUCAAAGCUAGGACUUGAACCUUAGCUAACUCUAAUUGUCCUUCCCUACUUCUUGGGGUAUUUUUAAAUUUUUUGUAUUACUUAAAAAUUAUAUUUGCAUUGUCCAUGUACUUGCAUAAAGUAGUAUAACUGGAUUAAAGGUACUGCAGAAAACAGAAUCAGAGUAUAAAUCCCCUAGAGUUGAAAUUAUGGGAUGUCAUGGGCUGCACAUUGUGGAUACCAGCCACCAACCUCUGUUUCUCUGGAAGAGCACCAUAUAAUCUAACAAUUUAACCAGCUCUCUGGCCAUUUCAGCUUUUAUAACAAAUGCAGACUGUUUUUUCUAGUAGCCUCCAAAUUUAUCUUUAGAAUCAUAAUCAAUAUUGUAAACCACUGUGCAAAGACUUACUUUUUCUGCCAUGUUCCUUCUACAUUAUGUGAAAAAAAGAAAAUGGACCCUAGAGGAGCUAGGGAACAGACUAGUUGUACCUUGCUUAUCAGAAGGUUAUGUUGUGUUAUGUUAUAACCUUUUGUUACCUGAGUUUCUUUUUGUUAUUUGAAAACUCCUUAAGACAUGGGAACUCAGCACAACUUUCUAUGAAUUAUUCUUGUUGAGUUUUUUUUUUUCAAUUUUGUGUCUGUGUUCCACAGUUUCUUUACCCUUAUUAAUCAUAUAUGCUUAGAAACAUCCAGAUAUUCCUGGAGGAACUUUCCUUUGUACACAAAAUAAAGAGCUUUAGCAUCCACAAGCUAUUUAACUACAUAAAAUCUUAUUAGUCAUUUCAAUCAAAAUUCCAAUCAUUGCUUCAAACCAAACUGUGUGUAUGUGUUUGUGUGUGUGUGUGUGUGUGUGUGUGUGUGUGUGUGUGUAGCUGGCCAUAUGGCAGCCAUACAAUAGUAUAAAUAGGAUUAUUGAGUUGUGAGUAGUUGGGAACAAGCCAAUUUAAGGCCUAGCCAUUAAUUAGUUAAUAAAUAAAUAAGCUUCUGUGUCAUUAUUCAGGAAAUGUGGUAGAUAUAGGAAAGCCCAAAUGGUUACAAAAGUGCUGUGGCACAAACCCUUGUACACAUGGGGCCACCAACUCUGAUGCUAGAACAACACUGAUUACUAAACUUCUAUGCUUCUCUGUAUCAAUACAAAAUUAAAACAAAAAUCUCACCACCACACCCAUGUCUUCAUCUCUUGGUAAGAAAGCACUCUAUGCAGAGAUCCUGUUAUUAAGACUCUUCAACUUCUUAUUGACCCAGAUGUACCCUGCUCUGAAAACCUAGUGUAGCUAAGUCACAUAAAUCAGAGUAACACAUGACAAUCAGGACAUUUAGAGCAAAACACAAAGAUAGAAGCAUUGCCACUAGCAAACACAGUUUUUCUUUUUUAAAGUAAUCGCUGUUAUGUGCUUUCAUGAAUUGCAUAAAACCAAUGACAACAGAAUGAUCCUUCACUCCGUUUGAUCAGCACUCUGAAUAAAAAGCUAAGAUGGAACAGGGACUCACAUAGCCCAAAGUCACUGACAUAAACUUAGUAAUAAAUUAUAGGUCUCAGAGUGUUCCAACCAUCUGUUCAAAAGGUUAGGGCUGAAAUAAAUACCAUCUACAGAAUCUCUAAAUCUGUAGCAUUCUAUUUUGCUUAAGAAAAUAGUUACAUCAUCCCCCAACCUCCUCCUUUCAGUCUCAGUAUCUUCCUCUGUCUCAGUCUAUCUCUGUCUCUGCCUGUCUGUAUUACUCUCAUGCACACACACACACACACACACAAACACACACACAGUUAAAUGCUAAUCGUUUUGUAUAUUUAUUAUAAACAUGGAUAUAGUUGAUAUUGAAGUUGUACUCUUCAGACUACAGGCAAUGUUUUCUACUAAUAGGACACAUACUAAGUUCCUUUUCUGUUUUAGAGAUAGGGUUUCUCUAUGUAGUCUUGGCUGUCCUAGAAUUCUUUCUGUAGACCAGGCUGCCCUCAACCUGCCUCUGCCUCCCAAGUGCUAGGGUUAAAGACAUGCCUACCACACCUAACUAGUUCCUAUAGUUUUAAGAAGGGAGAGUGCAACUAGUACAUACAUUGUUUGAAAACCAAAAUAGUUUUAGAAACGAAGACUAAGCACUGUUAUUCUGUUCCUGCUGGCUCUAUUCCCUGUUUUGUCUUUUUAAAUCCUACAGCUAGUCCUGAUUAUAGUCAUGUUUCCAUUUCAUAGUGCUGCACAAAAUGCAAGUGCAUACUUACUCUUUUCUUACUAAAAUAUUCCAUUUAAGAGACACAUUUGCCUCCUUUUCUGAACAAUAUGGACUAGAUUAUAUGUCCAUAUCAGUGUAUACAGUGCUUUAUUGAGAAAUACAGACAAGGGUACAGAUCCUGUCCAUAGUCUCCUGUCCAUAGUAUCUUGUAAGCAUUACAAAUACAAAACUAUGCACAUCUAAGAAAUUAUAGCCAGAGCAAAAUAUAGCACACUAAUAGCACAUCCAAAGCCUUGUUUGUAUUCUAUUCACGCCUCCUUGGCAACCAUCCUGGUAUCUAUCAUCAUAGAAUUUACUCUGCAUAAAAUUUGACUUUUACAUGCAUAAAAUAGUAAACAAUGUAGUUUCUAUGACAAGUUUCU